AUACGGAGGAUCCGAGCGUUAUCCGGAUUUAUUGGGUUUAAAGGGUGCGCAGGCGGCCAUUUAAGUCAGCGGUUAAAUCGUGGGGCUCAACCCCAUUCUGCCGUUGAUACUGGGUGGCUUGAUUGCGGUCGAGGUUGGCGGAAUUCGUUGUGUAGCGGUGCAAUGCAUAGAUAUGACGAAGAACACCGAUUGCGUAGGCAGCUGACCAGACCGCAAAUGACGCUCAUGCACGAAAGUGCGGGGAUCGAACAGGAUUAGAUACCCUGGUAGUCCGCACAGUAAACGAUGAAUACUUGUUUUCGGCGAUAUAAUGUCGGAGGCAAAGCGAAAGCGAUAAGUAUUCCACCUGGGGAGUACGCCGGCAACGGUGAAACUCAAAGGAAUUGACGGGG
rnacentral:rRNA from 1 species